rnacentral:rRNA from 1 species
CUAGCGACUUCAGAGUUUGAUCCUGGCUCAGGACAACGCUGGCGGCGUGCCUAAUACAUGCAAGUAGAACGCUGAAGGAGGAGCUUGCUUCUCCGGAUGAGUUGCGAACGGGUGAGUAACGCGUAGGUAACCUGCCUGGUAGUGGGGGAUAACUAUUGGAAACGAUAGCUAAUACCGCAUAAUAGCAGUUGUUGCAUGACAACUGUUUGAAAGGUGCAAUUGCACCGCUACCAGAUGGACCUGCGUUGUAUUAGCUAGUUGGUGGGGUAACGGCUCACCAAGGCGACGAUACAUAGCCGACCUGAGAGGGUGAUCGGCCACACUGGGACUGAGACACGGCCCAG